UACGGAGGGUGCAAGCGUUAAUCGGAAUUACUGGGCGUAAAGGGCACGCAGGUGGCUGAGUGAGUCGGAUGUGAAAGCCCCGGGCUUAACCUGGGAAUUGCAUUCGAUACUGCUCAGCUAGAGUAUGGGAGAGGAAAGUGGAAUUCCCGGUGUAGCGGUGAAAUGCGUAGAUAUCGGGAGGAACAUCAGUGGCGAAGGCGGCUUUCUGGCCCAAUACUGACACUCAUGUGCGAAAGCGUGGGGAGCAAACAGG
rnacentral:rRNA from 1 species